UUUAAGUGUAACCAUAAGCUUCUGUGUCCAACUUUGAUCGUCCGUCUUAUUUAAAUUUUUUAUAAUUAAUAUUUUUUAUUGUUAUGAGAUGAUAAAACAUGAAUACAUGACUUAUGUUUUUAAAUUUUUUCGAAUAAUUUUCAAAUAAGACGGGUGAUCAAAGUUGGGCAGGGAAAAUCAUGGCUGCACUUAAA
rfam:Oryza sativa Japonica Group DNA, chromosome 9, cultivar: Nipponbare, complete sequence.